UCUAUCGUAACGCAAGAUCUCGCACUCCCGAAUCCAGCACUACGUCUCCCAUAUCUCGUCCCGCGACGACAAUCGAUAAAAGUCACCUCUCUUUCUCUCACCCUAUCCCUAUCCUUCUCUUUCUCUCUUCCUCUCGUACUCGUCUCUCUUAUUCGUUUAUCUGUUCGUCUCUGGGUAUCCUGGUUGUCGCGAGCACUCUCUAUUCUCGAUUCUCGAUUUGCGGUAAGUAUCAAGAACGAUUAUCCCAUGGAAGAUCGCAGCGUGACAUUUCUGAGCAAUCGCAGAUAUUCGAGGGUCGGGAGCAACAGAGUAGCGUGGCUCGCAGCUAGCAGCGCGGCCCUUUGCGCGUAUACGCGUGGACCGAGCACAUCGGCUGGUUCAGCAGCCACCGAUCGAUGAUACGUUCAUCAGGAUUCACCUUGGGCGCAUAUUCGAAUCUCACUGAAACUCUGUCGCUCGUACGUUCGCUCUCUCGUUUCGUUUCUGCUCACGACCGUCGAUCCGCGCUACGACACAACGCGACGCGACGCGAAGUCGCGACGUCCGUCGCCCGUAUCCGUAUCCGUAUCCGUUUCCCUGUGGCUCGCCUAGUCAGCUCCUCGUUCCUAGACAACGUGUCGUGGGUAUAUUUGCAGAAUCAUAGCAAAAAACGUUGGUCCGCUAGGACGAAACCGUGGGAAAAAUGGAACGGAAGGUUGGAAGUAAGGGAAUACUGAACGUCACGAAUGUAAGGAGGAAACGGAGAGAGAAGCGACGAAGAAAAGGAGAGAGCGGAAGAACGCGAUUUAGCGGUUGAGGAAAGGAGCGAGAGCGAAAAGUAAUGGUGGACGAGAGUGGGUGACUGUUUAUACGGAGAGGAAAGGAGGGAAAGAUCGGGAAGAGAACACGGGAGAUGGAUGUAGAUGAGGACGAAGUGUGGUAGAGAGGAAGUUGCGAGCCCCACACCGAAGGCGAGCAGAGGAGAGGCAAAAUAGAGGGAUACGAGGCAGAGAGAGAGAGAGAGAGCGUGCUUUUAUUGACAAAGGACAGAGACUCCGCCCCUGUCGAGAGAAAGUUACACUCACGUCUGCGCCUCUUUUCUGUUGAACGAUCCACGCGCUCUCACAGAGAUCUCUGGAAUUUCGCUUCUGCGCUUCUUCCCCAAAAAUCGAAUCUUUCCCGUAUCGUUCUUGUCUCAACUAUCACGCGCGAUGUCAAAAGACAUAUCAUUCGUCUUUAGGCGCUAUGUUUACUCGCGUGAAACACGGAUUAACGACGAUAAAAAAACACAUAUCUAAUGCAUACAAAAUACCGUUUCGUUUCCUAGUACGUGAAAAGGGAUGGCGUUAGAUCUUGAAAUAUCCAACAACCGUUUUACAUAAGACAUCGUUUGCCUAUAACGAAAGUCCUAUACGUGUAGCGAAUCGUACGAAGAACGUACAAAAACAUGCGUCGAAUAUUAAUUUUUCUUUUUUUCAUCGUGUAUACGUUUACGUUUAGGUUGUGACGGUCGUGUGCAUAAGCCGGCAAUGCUUUCUCUCGAUUCGAUUUCGAUACAGUUUAGGUAUAUAACUUCCGUAUCUCUGAGGUUCAAGCUUCAUACUGUGAUAAUUAUGCGAAUAUUCGUGACGUACAACUCAUUAUCGUAUCAGCACAGACAACCGUACGCCGCGUAUGGCUAUUUCACAAUUUUCAUUGUACCAUCUGCGGUAACGUACAAGCGUAGUUGGUAAGAAGAUACUGUGAACUGUUUUAUGUUUCCAGCCAAACAGCCACACACACCAGCGAUUAGUACAUUGAAAACAGAAUUUUAUUGGCGCUGCUACGCAACAUCGUGAAACAUUUUACAUCCUCUGGGAAACAUCGCAUCGUGUCGCGUUUCUUGUAUUCGUGAAAUUAUUAUUAAAGGGAAAAAGUAAUUAUUAUAAAUAGUUAUUAAUCUGAUAAAUGCGGAAUUUAAUUUCAAAAAUCCAUUACGGAGCGCGCAGGUAAAAUCAAGCAAUGACGAAUAUACACGUCGAAUGCAGAACAAAUGUUCUUAUUAUAAAUUUUACGAAAAAAAUGGCACAUCUUCGAAGUGGAUUUGCUUUUGAUGGUGUAGCUGGUAUAAAGUUAUAUAAGCUGAUAUAAAACACAAAAUAAUUCGAGGAAUAGCUGAUAUACACAGCAAAGUACACAAAACAAUUCGGGGAAUAGUCGAUAUACGCACUUAUGGGAAUAAUCAUAUAAUCAAACUUUUUUUUUAUAAAAUACAUGAUAUUUACUGAAAGUAUAAAGAAAAAAUACCACUAAAUGUCAUUUAUGUUAUUUUUUAUCAAAAUUUUGAGUUUUUA